rnacentral:rRNA from 1 species
GACGAACCGUACGAACGUUAUUCGGAAUCACUGGGCUUAAAGGGUGCGUAGGCGGUGCGGACAGUUGGGUGUGAAAUACCUCAGCUUAACUGAGGAACUGCGCCCAAAACUACCGUGCUCGAGGGAGACAGAGGUGAGCGGAACUUAGGGUGGAGCGGUGAAAUGCGUUGAUAUCCUAAGGAACACCGGUGGCGAAAGCGGCUCACUGGGUCUCUUCUGACGCUGAGGCACGAAAGCUAGGGUAGCGAACGGG